rnacentral:rRNA from 1 species
CGUGUAGGCGGUUCUCUAAGUCUUUGGUGAAAUCUCCCGGCUUAACUGGGAGGCUGCCGAGGAUACUGGAGGACUUGAGGGCAGCAGAGGGAAGUGGAAUUCCCGGUGUAGUGGUGAUAUGCGUAGAUAUCGGGAGGAACACCAGUGGCGAAGGCGGCUUUCUGGGCUGUACCUGACGCUGAGGCGCGAAAGCGUGGGGAGCAAACAGGAUUAGAUACCCUGGUAGUCCACGCUAUAAACGAUGGAUACUGGGUAUGGGGGGUAUCGACCCCCUCCGUGCCGAAGUUAACGCUUUAAGUAUCCCGCCUGGGGAUUACGGCCGCAAGGCUAAA